ensembl:snRNA U1 U1 spliceosomal RNA
AUACUUACCUGGUAGGCAGAUACUGUGAUCACAAAAGUGAUUUUCCCAGGGUGAGUCUCAUCCUUUGCACUCUGGAUGUUCUGACCCCAGCAAUUUCCCCAAGUGUGGGAAACUCAACUACAUAAUUUGUGGUAGUGGGAGACUGUAUUCAAGCUUUCCCCUA